GACGAACCGGUGCGAACGUUGUUCGGAAUCACUGGGCUUAAAGGGCGCGAUAGGCGGGCUGCCAAGUCAGGGGUGAAAUCUUUCGGCCCAACCCGGAAAAGCCGCUUCUGAUACUGGCAGUCUCGAGGGAGGUAGGGGUCGGCGGAACUGGUGGUGGAGCGGUGAAAUGACGUAGAUAUCGGGAGGAACACCAGUGGCGAAGGCGACUUCCUGGCCUGUUCUUGACGCUGAGGCGCGAAAGCUAGGGGAGCAAAC
rnacentral:rRNA from 1 species